CAACCAGCAGCUAUGGAACACUUCUUCUUCUGUAAUGUAUGACUGAGCAGAAGCUUCUCUCUAAGUGACCCAGAAGCAUCCAGAGUGAGCUGCACAUUGGACCACUCCUGGAAUAGAUUCAUCACUUGUGUUUUUUGGCUUGGAUAUCACUGUUCUGUGCCACCUGUGGAAAAUGGGAGACAAAUUAUAUCCCUUAUGAUUGCAGUUGUUAGGGAAUUACCGCUCAGCUGGGAGCUCUGUUCUGUGCAACUUCACUCUGGGACCGAGGCUGCCUGGAGAACCACCAUCUGGAGUAUGGCUAGUCUCCGUGAGAGAGAGGAAGAUAGAGUGGUGAAUUUCUCACUGGCUUUUAAAGCUUACACCUGAAAGUGAUACAUGGCACUUCUACUCAGAUGUCACUAGGCAAAGCAAGUCACGUGGCUGUACCCAACUUCAAAAGGCGAAGAAGUGCAAUCAUACCCUGUGUUUGGGAAAAUCGGACACACUUGGUGGGCAGAACUGUCCCAGAUGAUGACAGUUGCUAUGAAGAAACAAAGCCAGGUAAAGGAGAUGAUGUCUGGAUAGCUGGUUUCUACUUGAUAUAGGUGGUCAGGAAAGGUCUCUCUGAUAAGGUGACAUUUGAGGAGAGAUUCUAAGAGGGCCAUUUGGAUGGGCACGGGGCAAUUUCCUGCAAGGGAUACAGCAAGGGCAAAGUGUGCCUGGCGUGUUUGAGAAACAACUAGGAGGUCCAGGUGGCUAGACUGGAGUGAGCAAGGGGAAAGCUGUAGAAAAUUAGGUCAGAGAGAUAACCGAGAGCUGGGGACACAAGGUAGGGCCUUACUGUAAGAGCUCUGGCCGUUGUAGAUUUUUGUGUAAAGACACAAUCUGAGUUAGGCUUUAAAAGCUGCUGUGGCUGCUGUGUGGAAAAUACAGCAGGGGGCCAAGGAUUGAAGCAGAGAGUGGUUAAGAGGCUGUUUCAGUAAUCCAGGUGAGGUAAGAGACGGGGUAGUGGUCAGAUUCUGGACAUAGUUCGAAGGUAAAACCAACAGAAUUUGCCAAUGUGUUGGUUGUAAGAGAAGGAGGAGAUUUGAGGAUGACUUCAAAGGUUUGUUUCUCCUAGUAGUGCCUGGACACACAUAAGGACUGCCUCAGGUGGUUUUUGAGACUCUUCUAACUUGGCAAUAUCACCAUAGCAUAUAACUUCCCCCAUACAUGAGUCAAAGUUGGACAGCCAAGUGGAGAUAUAGAUGCUGGGGCAGUCAGCCUGAUUCAUGUACCAGCAAAGGGACUUCUGUCCCCACAUUGGCCUCAUAUCUGGUCUCUCUUUGGACUUAUGACCCAAGUUAAUUUAUAAAACCAGAGAAGUGAGCUUCAUAAUUACAAGCAAAAUAGGAGAAAAUGACUGAGUCAUCCCAACCUCAUCUCACCCCGCCAUUCCUCUGUGAACCUCAGAUAGCGCUACCAAGAAACCCAGCUAUUACAACAUGGGGUCUAUCCUCAUUGGACACUGGGACAGUGAUGUGUUGCCUCCCAUUCUCCUGGAAAUACGUUGAGUAAAAUUCUUAACAAAUACGACAAAACAACACUGUGGUGUUUUUCUGAAUAGUGUGUCCCCCAUUUCUGCUCACCCUGUCAUCCUGUAACAUGGCUCUCCCCAUCACUACCACCCAGUAAAUGGCAACUGGAACUCCCUGCUACACCUGGGCCUUCUCUGUGUCUUCUCCAGCAUAGAGUAGCAUAGGUUGAGUGCAAAGUUUGCCACCUACCAUAACGGACUGAAUAAAUGAAGGUCCAUGCUGUUUUUAAGAACUAUUUUGGGGGUAUUUAUACUCAAAAGCAUUCAUUUGUUCAAGAAAUCUUCUUGAACUCCUACUAUGUGCCAGGUACUCUUCUAAGCACUGGAGACACAGCCAUGGAUAGAAUAUAUAAGUAAUAUAUAUUGUUGAAAACUGGGAAAGCAUAGAAAGGUACUCAGAAAAGAUAACAUUUCCACUAACUCACCACCGAAACAUAAUUGCUAGUAACAUUUUGGUGCCCAGUCUUUUUCUGAGCAUAUAUAUCUUUCCUUCCUCCUUUUUUGAAUAAAAUUUACAACUUUGGGC
ensembl:lncRNA